rnacentral:misc_RNA from 1 species
GAUGAAGAACGUAGCGAAAUGCGAUAAGUAAUGCGAAUUGCAGAAUUUCCGUGAGUCAUCGAAUCUUUGAACGCACAUUGCGCCCACUGGUAUUCCGGUGGGCAUGCCUGUUCGAGCGUCAUUAUCCUCCCUCAAACCCCGGGUUUGGUGUUGGACCCAAGUUGUGUGAACAACUGGUCUCAAAGACAAUGACGGCGUCCGUGGGACCCUCGGUGCAACGAGCUUUUAGGAGCACGCAUCGAGUUGCAAGGACCUUCCGGGCCGGUCUCCUUUACCAUUUUACAAGGUUGACCUCGGAUCAGGUAGGAUUACCCGCUGAACUUAAGCAUAUCAAUAAGCGGAGGA